rnacentral:tRNA from 1 species
GGCUCCAUAGCUCAGUUGGUUAGAGCGCCAGUCUAGUAAACUGGAGGUCGGGGGUUCGAAUCCCCCUGGAGCCU